rnacentral:rRNA from 1 species
UACGGGGGGGGCAAGCGUUGUUCGGAAUUACUGGGCGUAAAGGGCCAGUAGGCGGCCAACUAAGUCGGAUGUGAAAUCCCUAGGCUCAACUUGGGAACUGCAUCCGAUACUGGAUGGCUUGAAUUCGGGAGAGGGAUGCAGAAUUCCAGGUGUAGCGGUGAAAUGCGUAGAGAUCGGGAGGAACACCAGUGGCGAAGGCGGCUCACUGGCCCGGUACUGACGCUCAGGCGCGAAAGCGUGGGGAGCAAACAGG